rnacentral:rRNA from 1 species
CUUGCUAAGUUUGGUGGCGACCGGCGCACGGGUGAGUAACACGUAUCCAACCUGCCGAUGACUCGGGGAUAGCCUUUCGAAAGAAAGAUUAAUACCCGAUGGCAUAGUUCUUCCGCAUGGUAGAACUAUUAAAGGAUUUCGGUCAUCGAUGGGGAUGCGUUCCAUUAGGUUGUUGGCGGGGUAACGGCCCACCAAGCCUUCGAUGGAUAGGGGUUCUGAGAGGAAGGUCCCCCACAUUGGAACUGAGACACGGUCCAAACUCCUACGGGAGGCAGCAUG